AGAGUUUGAUCCUGGCUCAGGACGAACGCUGACGGCGUGCUUAACACAUGCAAGUCGAACGGAAAGGCCCUUUCGGGGGUACUCGAGUGGCGAACGGGUGAGUAACACGUGGGUGAUCUGCCCUGCACUUUGGGAUAAGCCUGGGAAACUGGGUCUAAUACCGAAUACACCCUGCUGGUCGCAUGGCCUGGUGGGGGAAAGCUUUUGCGGCGUGGGAUGGGCCCGCGGCCUAUCAGCUUGUUGGUGGGGUGAUGGCCUACCAAGGCGACGACGGGUAGCCGGCCUGAGAGGGUGUCCGGCCACACUGGGACUGAGAUACGGCCCAGACUCCUACGGGAGGCAGCAGUGGGGAAUAUUGCACAAUGGGCGCAAGCCUGAUGCAGCGACGCCGCGUGGGGGAUGGCGGCCUUCGGGUUGUAAACCUCUUUCACCAUCGGCGAAGCCCAUAGCUUUUGUUGUGGGUGACGGUAGGUGGAGAAGAAGCACCGGCCAACUACGUGCCAGCAGCCGCGGUAAUACGUAGGGUGCGAGCGUUGUCCGGAAUUACUGGGCGUAAAGAGCUCGUAGGUGGUUUGUCGCGUUGUCCGUGAAAUUCCCUGGCUUAACUGGGGGCGUGCGGGCGAUACGGGCAGACUAGAGUACUGCAGGGGAGACUGGAAUUCCUGGUGUAGCGGUGGAAUGCGCAGAUAUCAGGAGGAACACCGGUGGCGAAGGCGGGUCUCUGGGCAGUAACUGACGCUGAGGAGCGAAAGCGUGGGGAGCGAACAGGAUUAGAUACCCUGGUAGUCC
rnacentral:rRNA from 1 species